UCCUUCAUUCUCUAGUCUUUGUUGUGCUGUACAAGUUGGCGCAUACAGAGUCGGUAAAACGCGACACGUCGCUGGAAUGUCAUCAAGAGUUUGCUGAGCACAUGUUGAAGGCUCACGGAGAGAAGGACUGGCUACAUGGACAUGAACAUCCGUGAGGGACCAAG